UACGUAGGGGGCAAGCGUUGUCCGGAAUUAUUGGGCGUAAAGAGCGUGUAGGCGGUCCGGUAAGUCAGCUGUGAAAGUCAAGGGCUCAACCCUUGAAUGCCGGUUGAUACUGUCGGGCUAGAGUCCGGAAGAGGCGAGUGGAAUUCCCGGUGUAGCGGUGAAAUGCGCAGAUAUCGGGAGGAACACCAAUGGCGAAGGCAGCUCGCUGGGACGGUACUGACGCUGGGACGCGAAAGCGUGGGGAGCAAACAGG
rnacentral:rRNA from 1 species